AAUCAGCAGUAAUAAGAGCACUGGCCCCAUCAUAUGCUCUAGAGCUGCAAAAAAAAAGUCCCCAGUAGUCUAAUAGCAGUGGGACUACAGACAGAUUUGUGUAAUUUCACAAAGUAUACAAGCUAUAAAUAUUAUGUUUAUUCUAAAGAAGAAAUGUGAAAUGCAGUCAGCAGAUAUAAAAUGUUUAUUUUCCCACUGUCACAUGUAUUUCUUCAUCCUUUUGUGACCUCAGUGUGAUAGUAUCUAAAUAGUUUGCUCUAAAGCACAAGACAUGCUGUGUGAAAAGGCAGGAACAGGAGCACUCACACCACACUAGGAUCUUGACUGGUUGAUCAUCUCUUACUACUUAUGAUUAAGCAAUAAGGAGAGAGGUACAGGGUACUUCCUGGGGAUUAAUAACUGAUAGGGAGGAGUUAAUGGCCUGAGGUGCAGCUGAGGGCCAUUAACCCCAGCUGGUCAUCAAUCCUCAUUAAAAACCUCUGCAACGCAGUUCACCAAACACGGUGAAGGGCAAACCAAUGUUUUAAGCACCUUUGUGAUUCCCCUCUCUGUUGUGUCCUUAAAUUAGUUCUGAUUUAAUUUCUGUUACUUUCUGGGGUAGAUGGUGCUUGUCUUACUGCAGCAGAAGUUCUAGUCAGCUAUGGGUUUAUCUCACCAGUAGCUGUGUGAAAACUGUAGAGUUCAGACCUUUAGAUGUAAGUGAGAGUACUCAAUACUAUAGCAGCAGAAUAAGGGCUGUUUUAGAAAGUCUAGCGUUCACAUGAAAGAGAAGUGAGAGCAGAAUUAGUCUUUGGCCUUCAUUUAAAAGUGUGUGAUCUUGCCCUAUGGCUGCUGAUGAACUCUGUACCCUGUGCAUGGGCUUACAAAAUCAGAAGCCCUCUUCUUCUAGAUCUACACAAAUACCUGAGAGAUGCUGUGGAGAAGGCACUAUCUGUUGAAGGGAGCCAAGUGUGGCACUUUAUUGCGCUGGGAGUCAUGAUUGCUCAGCUGUGAGAUUGCUUCCUGGAAAUCUGUAGUGGAGAAUCAAGCACAGUGCAGCAGCAGCCACAUAUGAAUGUGGUGAGUGAAUAGCUGUGUUUGUGCCUAGGGAAUAGCUGAGGAACUUGGGGAACAGUGGUGUCCUUUUGAGCAUGACUGGCCAGUUGAGGACAUACCAGUUAAAUUGCUCUGAGAACCCAGCUGACAGAUGUCAGUGUGGGUAAGGGUAAAUAAUACAAGUUGGAGGUGGAAGGUUUCAAGGAGGAAGCAAACAAAGAGACAUCAGAAAUAUCCAAACAUGGUGGUUUACAAAGAAUUAAAUCCCCUUUC